rnacentral:lncRNA from 1 species
UCCUAAUCUAAUCUCUACUUUGAUGCUCUUCCUCUCUCCUAAACCUUUUUCUUUCAAGUUUUUUUUGAUUUAUUUCUUUAUUCUUUCAUCUGUUGGGUUGAAGCUCUGCUAUCCUUUUCAUGGUCGUGUCUGAAUGGGAGGUCAUCAGUUGUUUCUUAGGGUGGAGUUCUUAUAUUUGACCACGCACGAGGGUCAAAAAUCUCCUUAGGAUAAUAUGCUGCACGCCUCCGACC